UCUGGUAUAGCUCAGUUGGUAGAGCAUGAGACUCUUAGCCUUAGGAUUGUGGUUUGAACCCCACUCUGUCAUGAA